GAAGCAAGUCGGAGUAAAUAUAGAUAUGAUAUACGGAAAUUACAGAACAGUGUGCCUCAGUGUGAGAAACUUGUUGAUGUAAACAAACUUUUGGUAAUCAUACCUCUUCUAAAGUCGGAAUGUUUACCUCAGAGGCGUUUGUUUACAGUAGUGGGAGUGGGGAAUGUUAUGGGGUCAUAUAAUAGGUAGAAGUGAAAUAACUACUUGCAAACAUAUACUGGAAUUGGCAACUCAGUAAACAUGCAUUGACAAUUGAGAAUUUUGAAAUUUCUAUUUGUUUAUAUAAUCUAUGAGUGAAGUCUUUAAUUUAAUUAUACAAAAUCGUACAUUCAGACUGUUGAACUUUACCAUUACAUUAGAUUGGUUAGAUCCAAAGCAUACAAAACAAUGGAUUAAAUUGUUUAAACGGAAAAUGAUUGAAAAGCUUCAGUCUUUUCGCUUUGCAGAUAAAUUGAUAAGGACGACGAAUAUACAACAAUAGACUUCUU